rnacentral:misc_RNA from 1 species
AAGUCGUAACAAGGUUUCCGUAGGUGAACCUGCGGAAGGAUCAUUAAAUAAUCAAUAAUUUUGGCUUGUCCAUCAUUAUCUAUUUACUGUGAACUGUAUUAUUACUUGACGCUUGAGGGAUGUUCCAAUGCUAUAAGGAUAGGCACUGGAAAUGUUAACCGAGUCAUAAUCAAGCUUAGGCUUGGUAUCCUAUUAUUAUUUACCAAAAGAAUUCAGAAUUAAUAUUGUAACAUAGACGUAAAAAAUCUAUAAAACAACUUUUAACAACGGAUCUCUUGGUUCUC